AACUUUCACAACGGAUCUCUUGGCUCUCGCAUCGAUGAAGAACGCAGCGAAAUGCGAUAAGUAAUGUGAAUUGCAGAAUUCAGUGAAUCAUCGAAUCUUUGAACGCACCUUGCGCUCUUUGGUAUUCCGAAGAGCAUGCCUGUUUGAGUGUCA
rnacentral:rRNA from 1 species